UAAAACUUUCAACAACGGAUCUCUUGGUUCUGGCAUCGAUGAAGAACGCAGCGAAAUGCGAUAAGUAAUGUGAAUUGCAGAAUUCAGUGAAUCAUCGAAUCUUUGAACGCACAUUGCGCC
rnacentral:rRNA from 1 species